AGUGAACGCUGGCGGUAGGCCUAACACAUGCAAGUCGAACGGCAGCACAGGAGAGCUUGCUCUCUGGGUGGCGAGUGGCGGACGGGUGAGGAAUACAUCGGAAUCUACUCUGUCGUGGGGGAUAACGUAGGGAGACUUACGCUAAUACCGCAUACGACCUACGGGUGAAAGCAGGGGACCUUCGGGCCUUGCGCGAUUGAAUGAGCCGAUGUCGGAUUAGCUAGUUGGCGGGGUAAAGGCCCACCAAGGCGACGAUCCGUAGCUGGUCUGAGAGGAUGAUCAGCCACACUGGAACUGAGACACGGUCCAGACCCCUACGGGAGGCAGCAGUGGGGAAUAUUGGACAAUGGGCGCAAGCCUGAUCCAGCCAUACCGCGUGGGUGAGGAAGGCCUUCGGGUUGUAAAGCCCUUUUGUUGGGAAAGAAAUCCAGCUGGCUAAUACCCGGUUGGGAUGACGGUACCCAAAGAAUAAGCACCGGCUAACUUCGUGCCAGCAGCCGCGGUAA
rnacentral:rRNA from 1 species